rnacentral:rRNA from 1 species
AACGAACGCUGGCGGCGCGCCUAACACAUGCAAGUCGAACGAGAAUCCGGGGCAACCCGGUAGUAAAGUGGCAAACGGGUGAGGAAUACAUGGGUAACCUACCCUUGAGAAGGGAAUAACCCGCCGAAAGGUGAGCUAAUACCCUAUACGCUAUCUUUUUUUCGAAAAGGAUAGGAAAGCCGGGUCGAGGACCUGGUACUCAAGGAGGGGCUCAUGUCCUAUCAGCUUGUUGGUGGGGUAACGGCCUACCAAGGCUACGACGGGUAGCUGGUCUGAGAGGAUGAUCAGCCACACUGGCACUGAGAUACGGGCCAGACUCCUACGGGAGGCAGCAGUGAGGAAUAUUGCGCAAUGGGCGAAAGCCUGACGCAGCGACGCCGCGUGGGGGAUGAAGGUUUUCGGAUUGUAAACCCUUUCAUGAGGAAAGAUAAAGUGGGUAACCACUUAGACGGUACCUCAAGAAGAAGCCACGGCUAACUUCGUGCCAGCAGCCGCGGUAAAGUCAGUG